UCACAAUUUAUCUUUUUCUUUGGUCACAUAUUGUUUAUUGGUCACAAAUUAACCAAUUCACUGGUUACAAUUAAUCAAAUAAUCUGUGAUCACCCUAACACUUACGACCACCACUUCAACGCUGCAUCCAACAGCACUACCACCACAGUCACCACCAAAACCACCACCACAUUGAUAACAAAUUAAUCAAUUUAUUGGUCACAACUUUCAAUCAACUAAUAAAAUCGUCACAAACACCCACGUCCCAUUCCACUCCAAAACACCGAACUACUGCAACCACCAACAGCGACGUCGCCCACUGUCACCAUCGUUGAAAUUACCACUACUACAACACCAACAGCACCCACACUCCAUUCCACCACUCUAAAACACCACACCACAGCCAACAACCACCAGCAAUGCCGCCUACCGCCACCCCAUCGAUAUUACCACCGCUAUAACAUCAACAGUAACACCACUACCAUCGCGGCGAGCACUGCACGGACAGCGACGCUAAAGUACUACACAUCGGCCUAUACCACCACCGUGGCCACCACUAUAAAAGUCAUCAUCACACAAAACACCACCUAAAACCACCACCACAUAAACACCACCCAAAGCAGCCACCUCACAAAGACCAUCACCACCACCAUACAAAACGCCACAACCACCACCACAAAAAUCUCCACUGUACAAAACACCAUCACUGGUGAAGAGUCCCCGGAGUGAGAGAGUGGAUCUACCUCGCAAAUACUGUUUCUUCGACGCCCAAUCACAAACCACAAAUACCCACAAUAUUUGUCUAACAUCGCUGAUCAACAUAGUCACGGUGUUGUGCAGAUCGAGAAUCAUGUUGAGUUGUGGCGACAGCGUCUUCACAGUGAUAGCAUCGACUGUGGCGCUGCGUUGUGCAGAUCGAGAAACAUAUUCAAUUAUGGUUGCGUGUUGAGUGGUGGCGACGGUGAUGACGUCUUCACAGCAAUAGCAUCCAUUGCGGCGACGACGGAGAAGAGAAAAUGAGGGAUAGAGAGACACGAGAAAGGGAGAUGGAAAAGAUGGGAGCUGUGUCUUUUGUUAGGUAAUGGGUAGGGUUUUUAUUUUUUGGUAAUUAGUUUAUUUAAAUAGUUAAUAAAAAAAAUUGAUUUUUGAAAUAUCAAACUUCCAACCUGAUUUAGGAAUUUUGAAUAAUUAAAGUAUGGUUUUGUG
rnacentral:lncRNA from 1 species